rnacentral:lncRNA from 1 species
UGUGGGUGGUGUCAGGGGAGCCUGGAUGGAGCCCCAGGACAGCCUGCUGAGGGUGGAAGCCUGGAUGGCAGAUGCUCAGGUCUGACUGCUGGGCUGCAGGGAAGAAAGAAAUGCCAAGCUGAACUCGCAGGGCUCUGCUGGAGUGAGGAAGCUGACUGAGGGAAGAACCAGAAGGCUGCCAAAAUACAAUUGUGUGCCUUUAAAGGAAAUAACAACAAGAAUUAGGAGCGCCCUGGAGGCAAGGUCUGCUGCUGGGGAAACCAAACCACAGUAACUUCAGAAAUAUAUACUUGGAAUAUGUCAUGUAUUAAUGGGUAAAGACACCGUGGAUAUGAAGGAAAUCACCUAUGGGAGAAUAUUAAGAAGAGAAGAAGGGGCUGCUGGCUGUAGUGAAAUGUAUAAAAAGGAGAGUGUGAUCCUAGUUUCUGUCUCUAACUAUGAGUUACUUGUGAUUAACUUCAAAUAUUCUCUCCAUAAGAAGAGGCCCAGAAGAAGAAGAUGAGCUUCAGUUAUUCUAGCACAACUGCUGUGAUAUUUGUAAAUAUUCAAAACCUAUAAUAAAAUGUAUAAAAGGAAACUCCAUUUGAAAUGAUUUGAAAUCUCACAUGGAAAUCUAUUUUUUUUAAAUCAGAGCUUAGUAAGAGAAAAUAACAGAACAUUGUAAUAAUUGAAUUACAAAAACAACUGAAUUUUGGAAAAUUUAUUUUCUCUCAUGUGAUGUGUGUGUAUGUGUGUGUGUGUGUGUGUGUAUCUAUUU